rnacentral:lncRNA from 1 species
CAGAGCUCUCUGCUAGUCAUUGGUCUCUAGAUUGUUCUUUCCCUACCCACGAUUCUCACUAGAAGUGAAAGACAGCCAUGAGAAACACCCCAGCCUGAUUAACUGACCCUAACACAUGGAUCCUUAUCCAGGGGUAGAUCUCUUCCCUUAGCACACCCCAGAGGGGUACAGUUGGUGACAAGAGCCACUUCUGGACAUCCUGUGCCAUUUCCCAUGCCCGCCCGGCCCGGACGGAAACCUUGCAUCAUGCGUCUUUACGGAAGGAAUUUAUUGUUCCAGAACUGAAGUUGCUCACAGUUAUUUGACAGGGGUUACACCAGAUGGGGCUUGUCCAUUUUUGUGAUGUCUGCGAAUCCGCAUGUGUCCAAAGUACAAAAGAGGAAGGCUAACGAGAGGUAUUGCUUUCAGUAUCCUGACACCGUAGGUAUGCCCCUUCCCAUUUGUACUGCGUGGCUUUGCUGUUAUUACAGGUGUUUGAUUUUGUUCUAUGUAUAGAAAUCCCAGCCUGUGGUGGUUGAAUGUAAUAGAAGCAUUAAAAUCUGUACAUGAGGGGAAGAGCAAAGGCAUGCAUGAAACCUGCCCCCAGCCCCUCCCGCUGCUACGCUGGGCGCCUUGGGCCAGCUGGGAGGGACUGGCUCAGCCAGACGGAACGGAACACAGACAAAAGCUGGAGAUGAGGGAAGUGAGGUGGGCUUUGGUGGGCAGCAGGCAGUGGUGUGGGCCCCUUGCCCUUGCCACCUCCAAGAGGAACCCACUGCAGAGCACUCUGCUAACUCCAUUUCUGGCUUUAAUUUUUUUUAAACAUUUUUAUUUUAAUUUAAAAAAAAAAAAACCAACUCGAGGUACCACUGCCAUCCUGUGUGUAAGUAGUAGGGUGCCAGCUCAGGGCCUUCUCCCCCUUCUCUAUCAGACACCAAACCAAGAUCACUCUUGGCCUGGUACAGCAGAGAAGUGCUGGGCAGUGCUUCCGGGCAGCGGGCACAGCUGGCCAGUGCAGGCUGACGCAUGUACCCUGAGCCCUUGUGUGGAACUGGAGCUGCUGCUAAGUAGUAAUAAAACAACCCGGGACAGAGCUAACCACAUCGUUCUUUAAAUAUAUAUAUAUAUAUAUGUAUAUGUGUAUAGAAAUAGCCAAGAGCGAGGAGCCGAAACACAAACCCUAGCUCUGCCCCAGCAGCCCCACCCGACACCCUUUUCCAAAAACAACCAAGAAAAGAAAGUUUAUAAAAAUAUCUUGCAGGAAUUCUUUUAAAGUUUACAGUAGCUUGCCAGUGCUGCAUCCACUGGCUGGCUCCCCACUGUCCCCAGCCCCACAACGGCUCUGUCCUCAGAGGGAACUUGGGCUCAGGACCCACCCUGCCCAAGUCAGACAGACAGAACAGACAGACAGAUGGCAGGAGGGCGCUGCUGCUACUCCCCCUUCCCUGAACAGAGAACAGAGACAUAAAGAAACUCAAUAAAUUAAAACAGCAAAUAAAUAA